GCCGAAUUAGUUAAAUGGUAUAACAAUGCUCCUGUAAAGCAUAUUUGAUUGUUCGAUUCAGUCAUUCGGCACCA
rnacentral:tRNA from 1 species